AUAGAAGCAGAAAAGGCAGCUUUGAAAAACUGGCUUUUCAGCUUCUGCGCAAACCUCUAAAACGCAGGUGAACAGUAACCCUUUAAUGAAAGUUUCUGGCAAUCCUACCCUUUCCCGAUUCCACGGCGAAGCUUCUUCAUAAUGCAGAAGAUGGCGCAUGAAUGGUUUUCGCAGACUGGCAGCGGCGUCGACGACUCGCAGAAGCCAUCGUCAUCUUCUUUGCUAGCCAAUUGGAACUCCUACGCUGUUUCACAAUCCAUUGAUGAUAACUCCUCUUUGGGACUUGGAUUCGAUCUCCAAUCUACGGUGCGCUCUGCUAACGACACUGUUUUUGGGACUUUUAGCGUUGAGUGAGAAAUGAAAGUAAAGCUGCUGCAGUGGUUAAAAGAGCAGAGAUGAAAAUUUGAGUAUAUGGUUGUAUUUGCUUAGUUCAGUUCUCUUUGUAUAAAAAAUAGAGAGAUCAUAUAGUUGUAAAUGAUUCACUGGUGAUAUGACAUUGGAAAUUUGGAAUAAAAAAAUUUCUUGGUUUAGUUAGUGUUUCGAAGUGAUAUGUGACUGUACAAUGAUUCCAUAACUGCUAUAGUUGUUUCCUAUAUGCUACCAUAUGGUAUGGAUUGUACAAGAAAGCUAUAAAAAGCUAUAACAGCAUUUGGAAAAUGCUAUGAAAAGUUUACAAUAGCAUUUGAUGAAUG